ensembl:lncRNA
GGCGGCUGUGGUGGUCAAACACAGUACUCGAGCUAAAAGUUGACAUGAGUUAGUCAUGUGAGUCAUUGGUGCCUUUAGUCACGUGAACCACUGGUCACAUGAGCUGUUUGUCACUUACUUACUUACUUACUUAGUCAGUUGUCGGUUAGAGCCCCCCCCCCCCCCCCCCCCUAAGUGAGUGGUGCAUAAGCUUAACCUAGUGUAAAUGAAUGGAUGAAUGAAUGAAUGAAACAAGCGUGUAUUGAGACGCCGCCGUCCACAACUGAGGCGAGAGGGACGCCUGAUUUCAGAUUCAAUUUUAAUUCUAAGAUGGUGUUUAUAUUGUCCCAAUAUUGUCAGUGUUAAAUCAACACUCAACAAAAUGUUAACAAUUUAACCCGGAAAAAGUGUAAAAAAUAAAUCUGCUCAGUGUUAAAUAGACUGUAUGUAGAGUUAAAAAGUCCUUGAGGCUGUAUAAUGACUCUUUCGUACAAUUGACUCUGUAACAGUUGAAUUAACGUUUUGCUGUGUAAAGCGUCACAGUUUAGACGAAGCCGCAGCCUUCAACGCAUUGAGGUACAAAUAUACGUUUGAGAGUAUUUAUUAUGCCUCUCAACGUGACGACUACUGAGCCGCCGGGUCGCUGCUAACAGCGCUAACAGAGCUAAAUUAGCUAACAGAGCUAACAGCGCUAAAUUAGAUAACGGAGCUAACAGAGCUAAAUGAGUGCAACCGAUGGGAACAGUCUUCCCCUGAGGGGGGAGCUGGAGGUUUGGGUGCUACGUUUUUCCAACAAUAUUUCUGGCUAACUUUGGGGGACUAUAGAAUCUUUUUCGUUUACUUUGUUGUCUUUCUCUUCAUUUCAUAACAUUGGUAUCGUGGGCUGUAACUCCAAUCCUCCCCAAUCCUCCCCAAUCCUCCCCAAAUGUUACCUUUUCUUUUUUUGUACAUCUUUCUAAUUUCUUCUCCCUGUAAAGCACUUGGAGACUUCUGGUUUGAAAAGCAUUAAGCAUCUACCGGAACAAGUGAUUUACUGCAACACUGUUAAUAUUUAACAUUUCAUUCUCACCUGAUUGUUGUAAACAUGGGAUUAACUCUGACGCGACAUACCUUAAGGCAUCGUUUUUGUCUGACUCAACAAUCUAAAACCAUAAAUAAAUGGAUGUAUU